UCCUUUGACAACUCUAGGGAUAGAGCCUUCCCCUUCGGGGGACAACGUGACAGGUGGUGCAUGGUUGUCGUCAGCUCGUGUGGUGAGAUGUUGGGUUAAGUCCCGCAACGAGCGCAACCCUUGAGCUUAGUUGCCAUCAUUAAGUUGGGCACUCUAAUUUGACUGCCGGUGACAAACCUGAGGAAGGUGGAGAUGACGUCAAAUCAGCAUGCCCCUUAUGCUUUGGGCUACACACGUUGUACAAUGGACAAUACUAAGGGCAGCGAAUCCG
rnacentral:rRNA from 1 species